rnacentral:rRNA from 1 species
CUUUCCCUCUGGCGGCAUGCUUUACACAUGCAAGUCGAACGGCAGCGCGGGCUUCGGCCUGGCGGCGAGUGGCGAACGGGUGAGUAAUGCAUCGGAACGUGCCCAGUAGUGGGGGAUAGCCCGGCGAAAGCCGGAUUAAUACCGCAUACGACCUGAGGGUGAAAGCGGGGGACCGAAAGGCCUCGCGCUAUUGGAGCGGCCGAUGUCGGAUUAGCUAGUUGGUGGGGUAAAGGCUUACCAAGGCGACGAUCGGUAGCUGGUCUGAGAGGACGACCAGCCACACUGGGACUGAGACACGGCCCAGACGCCUACGGGAGGCAGCAGUGGGGAAUUUUGGACAAUGGGGGAAACCCUGAUCCAGCCAUGCCGCGGGCGGGAAGAAGGCCUUCGGGUUGUAAACCGCUUUUGUUCGGGAAGAAAUCCUCUGGGCUAAUACCCCGGGGGGAUGACGGUACCGGAAGAAUAAGCACCGGCUAACUACGU